rnacentral:tRNA from 1 species
GCCGCAAUAGCGUAGUGGUAGCGCGUCUCACUUGUAAUGAGAAGGUCACUCGUUCAAUCCGGGUUUGUGGCA